GAUCUGGGUAUGUUCGAGGGGUACGAUAUCAGAAUGUGAGAGUAGAUGACGUUUCAAAUCCCAUUAUCAUUGACCAAUUCUACUGUGAUUCGCCGACGCCUUGCCAGAACCAGAGUUCUGCAGUUGAAAUAAGUGAAAUCAUGUACAAGAACAUUAGCGGGACUUCCAAAAGCAAAAACGCCAUGAAAUUUGCAUGCAGCGACACGGUUCCUUGCAGCCACAUUGUGCUGAACAACAUCAACCUAGAAUCUAGGGAUGGUACCGUAGAGACUUAUUGCAACUCUGCCAUAGGGUUUGGGUAUGGAUACGUGCAACCCUCUGCGGAAUGUCUGACCUCAUCAGACAAAGAAAAAAUCAUCAAGCAGGAGCCUGAGCUUGCCC